rnacentral:rRNA from 1 species
GACUGACCGAUAGUGAACCAGUACCGUGAGGGAAAGGCGAAAAGAACCCCGGCGAGGGGAGUGAAAAAGAACCUGAAACCGUGUACGUACAAGCAGUGGGAGCCUCUUUUAUGGGGUGACUGCGUACCUUUUGUAUAAUGGGUCAGCGACUUAUAUUCUGUAGCAAGGUUAACCGAAUAGGGGAGCCGAAGGGAAACCGAGUCUUAACCGGGCGUUAAGUUGCAGGGUAUAGACCCGAAACCCGGUGAUCUAGCCAUGGGCAGGUUGAAGGUUGGGUAACACUAACUGGAGGACCGAACCGACUAAUGUUGAAAAAUUAGCGGAUGACUUGUGGCUGGGGGUGAAAGGCCAAUCAAACCGGGAGAUAGCUGGUUCUCCCCGAAAGCUAUUUAGGUAGCGCCUCGUGAAUUCAUCUCCGGGGGUAGAGCACUGUUUCGGCAAGGGGGUCAUCCCGACUUACCAACCCGAUGCAAACUGCGAAUACCGGAGAAUGUUAUCACGGGAGACACACGGCGGGUGCUAACGUCCGUCGUGAAGAGGGAAACAACCCAGACCGCCAGCUAAGGUCCCAAAGUCAUGGUUAAGUGGGAAACGAUGUGGGAAGGCCCAGACAGCCAGGAUGUUGGCUUAGAAGCAGCCAUCAUUUAAAGAAAGCGUAAUAGCUCACUGGUCGAGUCGGCCUGCGCGGAAGAUGUAACGGGGCUAAACCAUGCACCGAAGCUGCGGCAGCGACACUGUGUGUUGUUGGGUAGGGGAGCGUUCUGUAAGCCUGUGAAGGUGUGCUGUGAGGCAUGCUGGAGGUAUCAGAAGUGCGAAUGCUGACAUAAGUAACGAUAAAGCGGGUGAAAAGCCCGCUCGCCGGAAGACCAAGGGUUCCUGUCCAACGUUAAUCGGGGCAGGGUGAGUCGACCCCUAAGGCGAGGCCGAAAGGCGUAGUCGAUGGGAAACAGGUUAAUAUUCCUGUACUUGGUGUUACUGCGAAGGGGGGACGGAGAAGGCUAUGUUGGCCGGGCGACGGUUGUCCCGGUUUAAGCGUGUAGGCUGGUUUUCCAGGCAAAUCCGGAAAAUCAAGGCUGAGGCGUGAUGACGAGGCACUACGGUGCUGAAGCAACAAAUGCCCUGCUUCCAGGAAAAGCCUCUAAGCAUCAGGUAACAUCAAAUCGUACCCCAAACCGACACAGGUGGUCAGGUAGAGAAUACCAAGGCGCUUGAGAGAACUCGGGUGAAGGAACUAGGCAAAAUGGUGCCGUAACUUCGGGAGAAGGCACGCUGAUAUGUAGGUGAAGUCCCUCGCGGAUGGAGCUGAAAUCAGUCGAAGAUACCAGCUGGCUGCAACUGUUUAUUAAAAACACAGCACUGUGCAAACACGAAAGUGGACGUAUACGGUGUGACGCCUGCCCGGUGCCGGAAGGUUAAUUGAUGGGGUCAGCGCAAGCGAAGCUCUUGAUCGAAGCCCCGGUAAACGGCGGCCGUAACUAUAACGGUCCUAAGGUAGCGAAAUUCCUUGUCGGGUAAGUUCCGACCUGCACGAAUGGCGUAAUGAUGGCCAGGCUGUCUCCACCCGAGACUCAGUGAAAUUGAACUCGCUGUGAAGAUGCAGUGUACCCGCGGCAAGACGGAAAGACCCCGUGAACCUUUACUAUAGCUUGACACUGAACAUUGAGCCUUGAUGUGUAGGAUAGGUGGGAGGCUUUGAAGUGUGGACGCCAGUCUGCAUGGAGCCGACCUUGAAAUACCACCCUUUAAUGUUUGAUGUUCUAACGUGGACCCGUGAUCCGGGUUGCGGACAGUGUCUGGUGGGUAGUUUGACUGGGGCGGUCUCCUCCUAAAGAGUAACGGAGGAGCACGAAGGUUGGCUAAUCCUGGUCGGACAUCAGGAGGUUAGUGCAAUGGCAUAAGCCAGCUUGACUGCGAGCGUGACGGCGCGAGCAGGUGCGAAAGCAGGUCAUAGUGAUCCGGUGGUUCUGAAUGGAAGGGCCAUCGCUCAACGGAUAAAAGGUACUCCGGGGAUAACAGGCUGAUACCGCCCAAGAGUUCAUAUCGACGGCGGUGUUUGGCACCUCGAUGUCGGCUCAUCACAUCCUGGGGCUGAAGUAGGUCCCAAGGGUAUGGCUGUUCGCCAUUUAAAGUGGUACGCGAGCUGGGUUUAGAACGUCGUGAGACAGUUCGGUCCCUAUCUGCCGUGGGCGCUGGAGAACUGAGGGGGGCUGCUCCUAGUACGAGAGGACCGGAGUGGACGCAUCACUGGUGUUCGGGUUGUCAUGCCAAUGGCACUGCCCGGUAGCUAAAUGCGGAAGAGAUAAGUGCUGAAAGCAUCUAAGCACGAAACUUGCCCCGAGAUGAGUUCUCCCUGACCCUUUAAGGGUCCUGAAGGAACGUUGAAGACGACGACGUUGAUAGGCCGGGUGUGUAAGCGCAGCGAUGCGUUGAGCUAACCGGUACUAAUGAACCGUGAGGCUUAACCUUACAACGCCGAAGGUGUUU